rnacentral:rRNA from 1 species
GACGAACGCUGGCGGCGUGCCUAAUACAUGCAAGUCGAGCGAAGUUUUUCUGGUGCUUGCACUAGAAAAACUUAGCGGCGAACGGGUGAGUAACACGUAAAGAACCUGCCUCAUAGACUGGGACAACUAUUGGAAACGAUAGCUAAUACCGGAUAACAGUAUUUCUCGCAUGGGAGAUAUUUAAAAGUUGGUUAUGCUAACACUAUGAGAUGGCUUUGCGGUGCAUUAGCUAGUUGGUGGGGUAAAGGCCCACCAAGGCGACGAUGCAUAGCCGACCUGAGAGGGUGAUCGGCCACACUGGGACUGAGACACGGCCCAGACUCCUACGGGAGGCAGCAGUAGGGAAUCUUCCGCAAUGGGCGAAAGCCUGACGGAGCAACGCCGCGUGAGUGAAGAAGGAUUUCGGUUCGUAAAGCUCUGUUGUUAGGGAAAGAAAUGGGAUAUGUAGUAAACUAUACCAUGUACGGAGGACGGUACCC